GGCAAAAAAAAAAAAACAAUCGAUGCGGAAAAGGUCUUCCCUUUUAAUUUUUCCAUAUUUCCUUUGUUUUCGUUGAUUUUUCUAUGUUUUCCUCUGAUUUUUCGCAAUUCUAAGAAGUCUCAAUCGGAUGGGAAGCUCCAGACUCUUUGCCCCGCUCUGCUCGCCGCCACCUCCCGUCGGUUUACGAUGUCGCCUUCCUCCCCAUCAUCAUCGGUAUAGGCCUUCCCUCUCAAAAAAGAGAAAGAAAUGAAAAGAAAAAGGAGAGAAAAGAAAAAAAAAUAACAAUCAAUGUGGGAAGAGGUAAGAGAUUUCCGUCUUACCUUCGUUUUCAUCGAUUUUUUCUUUCCCUGUGUUUGGGAAUAAACCCCAAUGGGAACCCGAGAAACCCCUCCGACCUCUCUCAGCUGCUCUCCUUCACACAAAUCUUUGCAAAAGAGAAAGAAAUGAAAAGAAAAAGAAGUGAAAAGUAGAAGAAAAACCAGAUCAAUCUAUGUGGAAAAGGUCUUACCUUUAUUCUUUCCGUCUUUCCUUUAUUUUCAUUUCCCCUGGUUCUUCUUUUGUUUUUUCUGGUCUUAGGAGUCUCAAUCGGGUGGGACUGUGGGAGGUUUGGAGCGGCCAUGUAGAGAAAUUUAGAGGGUUUUGUGUUGUAGUUACAUGUAAGAGUUUAAAAUUUUCCACGUCUCCACGUCUGUGGGGGUGUGACCUCUCCACGUCUGCGGCGAAAGCUCUGCUGGAUCUUCGGCACACGUUCGAGAAGCUCAUAUGCCAUAAUUCCACUGUGAGCUAUUCGUAUCAAGAUUGCCCUUUUCUAUUCAGAUUCUAUAAUGUUAUGAUUUUUAUCUCAAUUCUACAGCGAUUUGUCGUUCCUCUAACUGAGCAUUUGUUUUCCCUGUCAAAAUUUCAUAUUUGAAGUUUCUAAUAGUUAUGGCGGAAGUAUGUUUUCUUCUACAUUUUGGUCGUAGUUUUGAGUGCUGAAUUGCGAACGAUUCUUUUUCUUUCUUUCUUUUUUUGUAAAUGUAUACUUUCUAUAUUAUUAGAUUGAUUAUCUUGAAUUGCAUCUGUUAUAGUAGUACCUUUGCCUAUUGACCACUCUACCCUGGCUUGCAGAAAGAUUAUUUUGUCUUACAUAUUUGUUACGCCUUUUCUGCUUUACUGGAGAAUGUACAUGUAUAAGCUUUGCAUUGUUUUAUUCUUAGUAUGUACUGAAGGUAGACUUUACAAAUUUUUCUUCUAGAUCAUUUGUUCAGUCAUGACAAAUAAAUGCUUCGUGUUUAUAAUUUUUCACCGUGUUUUUGUUAUCCACUACCGAUGGCAAACUCAGGAUGCACUCAGGCAUGUAUUUGCCGGUAGAAUUUAUAUCCAUUGUGGAUAUAAAGGAUUCCCCAGCACGGAAUAGCCUGUCUUUUGUCUCAUGUGCUUGCAAUGGUAUGGUUCUUAUGGACGAGUCCUUGCAAUUACUUCGUUGUUAAAACUCUGGAUCUGAGCUGGAACCGGUUUGCAAAAGUGGAUAAUCUUAGGAAGCGUGCGAAGCUGCUGCGCUUGGAUUUUGGGUUCAAUCACUUGUGGAGAACAACAUCAUUUAGUGAGCUCAAAGUUUGCGGACGAAAUAAAACACGAGUUGAAGCAUACAGGGGUAGGUAUCAUAUCAAUGGCAAAUGCUGGUCCUAACAUGAAUGGAAGCCAAUUCUUUAUCACUCUAGCACCACAUCGGUCAUUGGAUGAUGGAGUAUCGUGCCUCCUCCGGUACAUAAGCACCGACGGUCCAUCUCCGGGCAAAAAUAGGUAUUUUCUAUCCCUCCUUUUUUUUUGGUCGGACCCCUCAUCAACAAUUAAUCAUUUUUUUUUCUUGAUUUCUUCUUCCAUCACCACUCUUUGUACACAUUCUUUUUAUUUCUACCUGCUCCCCCUUUUUUUCUCCAUUCCUCUUCUCCAUUGCGAGCCUCUCCGCUCUCUAAACACUAAUCCUAACCUUGAUAUACGUUCCUAUUUUGAGGCCUUAUCUUUAACCCUAAUCCUGGAGAUGGAUAUUGAUCAUUUUUUUCCUCCUGUUUUCGGUCAUCUUCUCCGAUCUGAUCACCUUGCCGCAUAAACCCUAACCCUAAACUCGAUGUGACCCUGACGUGACCCUAACCUUGACCGUGACCCAACAUUAACACUAAUCCUAACCCUAAUUGUAGGCUUAUCCCUAAUCCAAAGCCUAACAUAAACUUUAGCCCAAAUACUAACCCAAUCGAUUAAUCUCUUUCUCUCACCCACCCUAACACAAACCCAAAUCCUGUUCCAGUCAGUUGACGUGAUCCUGAACCUAACCUGAUCCAGAAACCAACCCUAACCCUAACCUCCUCACAUUGAAUUCAAAACAUAACCUAAUCAACUGACCUCCUGAUCCUAACCUUAAGCCAACCCUAUCCUGGCCCAAUCACCAAUCCUGGCCCCACCCUCCCAGUAUCAAACCCUAACACCAACUGGAUUAAACCCCUUCCACUAUUCGGCUAAGACCCCAAUCCCAACCCACAAACUUGAUCCCAACAUUGACCUUGCCCCAACCUGGUCCGAUCGGACCCUAGCUUUAAACCCAAUCCUGAUCCUAACUCGAUUAACUCACCCUAACCCUAACCCAAUUAAUUCCCUACUCCUGACCCAAUAACCAAAACUUAUAGCUCGAUUAACUUGACCCUGACCUAACUCCCACCCAAACCAGAUCAGUCCACCCUAACCUUAAUCCAAUCAACCCCCCUUCUUAUCCUAACCCAACCCUGAUCCUGACCUGACCUGACCUAAUCCCCUAACCUGAUUAAUCAUUCUUUAACCCUAACCUACAAUCCCAUUCUUGAUUCCACCCUCACCCAGACCUAACUUGAUCCAACCUGGCCCGACACAAUCCUUGACCCUAACCCGAUUCACCCAAUUACACAUUCACCUAACCCAAGACUGGAAACCUGUGGAACCAUAACCCAAAUCCAAAACCCGUUAACCCGAAUCCUAAUCUAUGUUCCUACGAUCUGCGACCUGUUCAACAUGAGUGGAUGGCUGUUCAAAAUGAACAGCAACCCUCCGUGGCCAUGGAUAGGCCCUCUAUCCCAACACCCGAUCCAUGGACAAAUAAUGCCCUCUCUAAUGGAGUGGAUGGCUGCAUAAAAUAUGCAGCAACCCUUCAUGUCUAACAAUAGCUUACUGCGGCGCAAAUGAUCGGAGAUCUCCUCCUAAUUGAUGCAUCCUGGAUGACAGUAGGUUGCGGCAAACUUGGCAGCAAUCCCCCAAACAGUUCAUGAGCCCACACCCCCCACCCCCCUCCCCCUACCAAAAAAAAAAAAAGAAGGAACCAUCACAUUCCUACAUCAACGGACCCUUCUCAGAUGAUGCGCUAUGGGAGUUGGAAGGCUGUGGGAAAGCCAGCAGCAACCCCCCCAACUUCUGAUGAGAAUAUCCCAACCCAAGCGGAAAACAAUGCAGGACCACAUCUAAGGGUAGCCUUUCUUAAAUAGAAAACUAACCAGCCCCCCCCUCCCCCAAUCCACGACCGAGCCCAUCCAAGGUAGAUAUACUCUCUACCAUCGAUUAUUUUUGAACUUGUUCAUAUUUUGUUACUUAUUAUUUUUUUUUAUCUACAUCUUCCUGUAUUUUUCUCGUCUUCUCCACGAUUUAUUUCCAUCCUUUUGUUUUUUCCGUCGUCUUCUCCAAUCCCACCUUCUUUGCAACCCUAUCCUAAACCCUAACCCUAACUCAGAGUCCCAAUCCUAACCCAAUCUCUAACCCAAAGUUGAACCCUAACCCAAGUUAUAACCCUAACCCUAACCAUAAUCGGACCCCUAACCCUACCUGAAACUCUAAUCUUGACUGUAACUGAAGGCCUAACCCUCACAACCAACCCAAGUACAGUCCUUACCCUAACCCGAGUUUUAAUCCAAAUCAUAGACCCAACCCUAGUCUGGAAAAAUUCUAAGCAUCUCUUAUAUAUGAUUUCAUCAGCUCUUCACAUGUAUCUGAAGCCUAUGUAGCAUGCUAUGAUUCAAUCACUUUUCUUUUAAUUGCAUCAGCCUGUGGAAUCCUUGCAUAAUGAUCCAUCUAAACUUAUGGUGGCGGCAGCGAGAGGUGGGGGAGGAGAAAGGAGGGCAGUGGUGGGCGGCUAGGGACGGCGGAUCUCGAGGUUCCGGAGUGCAUUGGCUGGAAGGAGGGGUUAGGAUUGGGGUUGAAAGCCAAGGCGGGGCCGCGAGGCGCCGGAGGAGAAGGGAUGGGAGGACGCCAUGGUUGGCAUCACCCGACUAGCCAAUGACGGCAAUGGACAGUGAUGCUUGACUAUGGGACCCUCAAGACCCCUUCCAAGAGGCCCCUCAUGGAGCUCCCGAACCUCACCCUUGCCAAGGCCAUCGCCGCCGAGUGGGAGUACUAGGUUUGCGUCUUCUCAGCUUCUUUGCUCUUUUGCCUUGCUUUUCUGAAUUCUACAUUUCGGUAUUUUUGAUCAAUUUUGGUUAUAAGUUUACUUAUUUAAACUCAGAGAAGAAUGAUGAGUAAGUUUAUUGGUACUUUGAUAUUUGUAUGAAAUGUGUGGGAGGUGGCACUAAUUUUGAGGUCUGAUGUUUGUGGAUCAAAUUCAAUCUUCAAUCAAAAAGGUAGCUGCUGUUCUUGAAGGAGAAAAUAUUAACAAAGUUGUCUCAGUCGGGUAGGAGGCUUGGAGGUGCCCUAAUGGGAAUGAAACCCAUUUGAAAUCGGAGAAACCCCUCUGAUCUCCGUCGGUGCUCUCCUUCCGAUUGAUCUCCAAAAAAAAGUAUCUUCCUUCCCAUAGAUCUCCAAAAAAGAGAAAGAAAUAAAAAAAAAAUAAGGAAAAGGCAAAAGAAAAAAAUGAACAAUCGAUGCAGAAAAGGUCUUCCCUUUUAAUUUUUCCAUGUUUCCUUUGUUUUCAUUGAUUUUUCUAUGUUUUCCUCUGAUUUUUCACAAUUCUAAGGUGUCUCAAUCGGAUGGGAAGCUCCGGACUCUUUGCAAUCGGAUGGGAAGCUCCGGACUCUUUGCCCUGCUUUGCUCGCCGCCACCUUCCGCCGGUAUAUGACAUCGCCUUCCUCUCUAUCAUCAUCGGCAUCGGCCUUCCCUCUCAAAAAAGAGAAAGAAAUGAAAAAAAAAAAGAAGAGUAAAGAAAAAAAAAAAUACAAUCUAUGUGGGAAGAGGUAAGAGUUUUCCUUCUUUCCUUCAUUUUCAUUGAUUUUUUCUUUCCUUGUGCUUGGGAAUAAACCCCGGUGGGAACCUGAGAAACCCCUCCGAUCUCCCUCACCUGCCCUCCUUCCGCAAAAGAGAAAGAAAUGAAAAGAAAAAAAAGCGAAAAGGAGAAGAAAAAUCAGAUCAAUCUAUGUGGAAAAGGAUGCACUCAGGCAUGUAUUUGCCAGUAGAAUUGUGGAUAUAAAGGAUUCCCCAGCACGGAAUAGCCUGUCUUUUGUCUCAUGUGCUUGCAAUGGUGUGGUUCUUAUGGACGAGUCCUUGCAAUUACUUCCUGUUGUUAAAACUCUGGACCUGAGGCGGAACCGGUUUGCAAAAGUGGAUAAUCUUAGGAAGCGUGCGAAGCUGCUGCACUUUGAUUUUUUGGGUUCAAUCACUUGCGGAGAACAUCAUCAUUUAGUGAGGUUUGACUUUUUGAGAGAACAGGCAUAGUCAAACCAUCUAUUUUUGGCUGGCUUCCUUGAAUACUGAAUUGGAAGAAACUCCAGUUCAAAAAAUGGGCCCACUUAGGAGUUAUGAAGGGCCUAAAAGAAGGAGAUAUUCAAGACCCACUACGAGCAACACAUGAUGAGGUGUUGUUCCUUGAGGUGGGACUUUCUAGUUGCUAGAUAGAGGGAUAAAGAUGGAACGGGUUUGGCAGUUAGGAAGAGGAGUAGACUUGAUACUGCAUGUAACAGUGCUGCGGUAUUGGACUUUUGUGUAAUUGAUGUGUUUUAAAAUUUAUCAUUGACACAUCUUAUUAAUGUCUAUUUAUCCUCAGUUGCAGCUCAUGCGUAAAUACCGUCGUCUCUUUACAGAGGUCAGGGGGGGCUUGAGAUGAUGCCGAGAAGAUGGAGCUUUAGAGGAUUGUCGCCAAGAAGGACAAGUUGAUUUUUGUGCUGCAAGUGGCAUGGAAGAGCGAGGAAGAGGGGAAGGAUGCAGAGGGGAGCACUCAUGAGAUGACAAUAGAUGUGGAAUUUGAGUUUGUGAGUGCUGAUACUCCGACACUACCUCACGAGCAAGCGGACCCACAGUCUAUCGAGAGGUGGAUUACGAGUGGGUACUUAGGGGCUCUUAUCUACUAUGCAGUCCUUUCAUCCCCCUAUCUUCAAGUACUCUAGAUCUCAUAAGAAAGUUCAAAAAGAAGUCAGUCACUAUGACAGCGUGGUAAGUAGAGUUGUAAUUUAAUAGAACAUUUAUAUUUCAUUCACAUUCGACGUACUCAUACGAUAUGUAGGAAUUUUUUGAGAUUAGCCAUGACUUCUCCAGCUUGCAGCUUUUGGAUGAGGGGGAACGUAGGCAUGUCCUAAAUUUUUUAGAACAAAAAAUCGAUAUCUUUGUUUAUAAAAUUUUGAUUUCCUUCAACCUAAUAGUCUUUAGUUCUGAUAUUAAUUUCUCUAUAUAGGUCAUUGGUUUGGAUUGAUGGCAUCAGUUUCAUCAAUCGAUAGCAUGUUCAUAACAUUCUAUCUGAAAAUUUAAUUGAUAAUGAUGUAAGUACUAUGUACUAAGUUGUAUAAAUCAAAGAUAUAUAUAAGUUAAUUUUAUUUUUUGUAAUGGAUUAUGCAGGUCAUAGACGUUUUUUGGUCCCUCCUUUAGCAGCAUGCAUUGAUCGAUAUUUUAAUAUAUUUGGAGUUUAUCUUUUUAUUGCGAUCUUUCUUUAUAGUAAUUAUUUAGUAUUUUUAAUGCAAUGUCAUGUUUUGAUGUAGCGUUGUUCUUUAUAAUAUAUGUUUCAAUUUUUUUUUCUAUUUUUAGAGCAUGUUGCUAGGCUUAUGGAAGGUAUCCGAUAAAGCUAUGCGAGAUUUCAUGUCUCAUUCAUUGGCUGAAGUCAAACAGAUGUUCGUGUCCAUAUGCUCGUCGACACAUUAGUAUCUGCUUAUUGUGGAUAUAAAAGGCAUAUGUUUCAGACACUAUACAUCCAUGAGUGGUGCAGAGUACAGGACUGUCACUAGAAGAUUUGUGAAUAAUGAUCAUAUUUAUCGAAUGUUGUGCAUACUUAUGCAUUGCUAACUAUGUGGUUGAUUUCUAAUGUUAUGUUUGUAGAUAACGUGGUUGAUUGAGAUGGCACGAGAUGUCUACUCAUAUGGAUAGUUGGCCAUUUCAUAUUGUUGGCUGUCCACAGUAGGGUGUCGGAUAAAUAUAAUAAUGAUUUGGUUUAUCAGUAUCUUUACAUUAUACGCAUUAGAGACAUGAUUCAUUUUUUUUGAAAUAACCUAAUAUGCUGAAUUAGAUAAUUAUAAGUACAAAAUAAUUUUUAUCGUGCGUACUAACGUUGCAUGCCAAAUCAAGUGCGUGCUAAGUAAUGCAUCGGACCAUUAAAUGGUCCAUGUCAAAUAUGAUUCGUUAUUGUGUUUUGUAUCGUGCCAACUAACAUAGUAUGCCUCUUACAUGGGAAAAAUUAUAUUUUCAAUGCUGAGUCCCAUAUGUGUUAGCACACGUUCGUGUUAACCAAUCUAAAGUAUUAUUUGUUUGUUUUAUUGAUAGUGAGCAUGAAAAAUUUUGUAGAUUUGAUUAUGCUAUCUACAUCAUGCAUUUUAUAGAGAGUAUGAUAAUUAAAGAUAGAUCAUAAUUAUCGAAGUUCGUGUAACAGAGUUACGUGUCAGAUAUGUUGCGUAGGUGAUUAUGAAGGAUCACGAGACGAGAUUGUCAUAGUUUAUUUUGUGUUAUUUUUGUAAUCAGAUGUGUUGGGUCCAUUCUUUAUAUAUAUUUGUGAUUUGUGUAUUCUGUCUAAACAUUUGGAUGUAUUGUGAAUCUCUUGUGAAUAAAUUUGUAUGAAAGUCUAUAAAAAAAUAAUUUAUAGCAGAUGAAUCAGUUGUAUUUAUUAUGUUAUUGAUGCAAUGGAUUUGUUGAAAUCUGAAUUUGUUCUUUAUAUUUUUUUAAGUUAGCAGGUUAUAUCAUGUUUAUUGAUAGAUCCGAUAAUUAUAAAGUUUUGCAGUUGGUAUGAGUAUUGUUUUUUAGAUCAUUUUGCCACAGCAGGGUGCAAGAUAAAUAUAAACCAUUUCAGAAUAAAUAUGAAUCUUGUAGAAUAAACACAAACUGUGUAUAAUAAAUAGAACUUUUACUGAAAUAAGCAUAAAUCUUGCAAAAUAAAAAUAAAUUUGGUGUCUAGUCUCUACCCUUUAUACUAAAUAAUAAAUACAAAUUAAUCAAAGUUGCUCUCUGCUCUUUAUGAACUCAGAGUGUAGAAUAAAUAUAAACUAUCUCAGAAUAAACAUAAAUCCUGUAGAAUGAAUACAAACUACAUAUAAUAAAUAAAAAUUUUAUUGAAAUAAACAUAAAUCCUACAAAAUAAAUACAAACUUGGAGUCCACUAUUAUCGAGUUUGUGUUUAUCCUGUGCAGUUUUUGUUUAGUGUCUCAGUGUUUGUGUUUAUCAUUCAUAGUUUUUAUUUAUUAUAUGGAGUUUGUGUUUAUUCUGGAGUACUUUAUGUUUAUCCUGUCAUUAGUUCAUGAAAGGCAGAGAGUAACUUUUGCAGUUUGUAUUUAUCUUGAGACUGUUUGUAUUUAUUAUUUGGUGUUUGUGUUUAUCCUUCGAUAGUUUGUAUUUAUUUUCAUAGGACUUAUUGUUUAUCGUCUCUUCUAUUGUUUAUCCUGGGUGGAUUUUAGGAUUAUUUAAGUAUUGGGCUUUGAGUUUGUAUUUUUUUUGGGCCAUUUGUAUUUAUCAUCUCAGACUUUAUAUUUAUUAUUUAUAAUUUUUAUUUAUUAUACAGAAUUUAUAUUUAUUCUGAAAUACUUUAUCUUUAUCCUGUCAUGAGUUCAUGAAAGGUAGAAAGCAAUCUUGACAGUUUGUAUUUAUUUUGGAUCAUUUGUGUUUAUCAUCUCAGACUUUAUAUUUAUUAUUCAUAGUUUCUAUUUAUUAUCUGAUGUUUUCUCUGCGUGUCAGUUUUUUUUUAGCAUGUCAGCUCUUGAGUUUGUAUUUAUCUUGGGUAGUUUCUAUUUAUUGUCUCAGAGUUUAUGUUUAUUGCAGAUAGCUUUUGUUUAUUAUACAAAAUUUGUGUUUAUUCUGAUGUACUUUGUGUUUAUUCUGCUAUGGGUUCAUGAAAGGUAAAGAGCAAUCUGGAUAGUUUAUGUUUAUCCUAGUUUGUUUCUGUUUAUUAUUUGAAGUUUGUAUUUAUCCUUUGAUAGUUUGUGUUUAUUUUUGCAGGACUUUGUGUUUAUCCUUACCUCUUAUUGUUUAGCUUGGGUGGACUCUUGGAUCACUCAAUUUUUGAAUUUCAAGUUUGUGUUUAUUCUGGAUAAUUUUUGUUUAUCGUUUCAGAGUUUGUAUUUAUUAUAAAUAGUUUCUAUUUAUUAUACGGAGUUUGUGUUUAUUCUAGAGUACUUUGUGUUUAUUCUGCCAUGGGUUCAUAAAAGAUAAAGAGUAAUCUGGACAGUUUGUGUUUGUCUUGGACUUGUUUGUGUUUAUUAUUUGGAAUUUAUGUUUAUUCUCUGAUAGUUUGUGUUUAUUUCUAUAGGACUUUGUGUUUAUCUUCCUCUCUUAUUGUUUAUCCUAGGAGGGUUGUAGGAUGAUCUAAGUGUUGGAUCCCGAGUUUGUAUUUAUUUUGAGCCAUUUGUGUUUAUCGUCUCAGACUUUGUAUUUAUUAUAUUGGAUUUCUGUUUAUUCUGUGGUGUUUGUGUUUAUCUUGAGAUAGUUUGUGUUUACUCUAGAUAUGUGUAUAUUUAUUUUAUGCUCACAGUCAACAAAAUAAAAAAAUGAAAGCUAUAUUAAUUGGCAUAGAGUAAAUAUUUGAACUUUAUAAUCAUCAAUGUCACAUCAGAUGUACAAAACGUAAUAGAGCAAAUCAUAUUGUUCGGUAGGAGUUAUAAAUUCAUAUCAUUUACAAAAAUAUUUAUUCAACUCAAAACACAAGCCAUCAUAGCAAAAUUAUAAUCAGGGGUUCUAAAACACCAGUGAGCUUACGCAAUCAUCAAAUUUUUCUUCUUUAGAUGAACUGCUGCUGAUGUAGGCUUCGAAAUCAUCUACAUGCAUAAAGUAUAACCAUCCAAGAAGUCAUAAGAAAAGUUUUUGUUAAAAUUAAAUAAAUAUAAAAUAAUUAUCAAGAUGUAGUUUUUACUAAUGUUUGUCUUGUAUAUUCGAAUGUUAUGAUCCUUUUGAUGACAUUUCUUGCAUGUUCACUAUUUCUUCGCUGCAACCUCCAUUUAGUGCUUGAACCUGCUAAGUUUUUUGUGAUCUUUACAAUUAGAAACUGGAGGAUCUUUAAAUACCAUGAAAUUAUCAUUUAUUUUUUUUGUUUAGCUACAUUAUGUCAUCACUAUCAGAAACUGAGUACAGCUCUCAUCUAUUAUAUUUUGUUCUGUAAAUAGAUUCUUCUUCAGUGAACAAAUUUUUUUAAUGAUGGACUCCACAUCAUUAAUGACAAGAUCAUAUAUUUUUUGGAGGGUACAAUUAUCAUAUGCUAAUUUAAAAAGUUUUUUACAUAGCCCAUUGAAUCUUGUAGUUCUCGACGUCGUGUCUUUCUGAACUUUACAUACACUAUGUGCCAUAUCAGCAUCUAUUUCUUUGGCAGAUUUCAUCUAGCAUUUUAAUAUGUAAUGUGCAGGGAUACGAUGAAUUCAUAAAGUAAUGAGAACUUUUAACACAUGAGCACAUAGAAUGUCACUGAAUUCAAAUAUUAGACAUGAGCAUGAAAAUUUCUCCUCAGACAUAAUACAUGUUACAUAAUUUGCUAUUCUCUGUUGUGCAUUUCUAUUAGGAGCCUCAAUCUCAAUUAUAUCAUACAAUUUAUACUUCUCUACCUUCUCCAUAUCAUACAUAAUUGUCAUUUUGAGUUGCUCCCUAAAAAGCUUAAAAAUAGUUCUUGUAUACACUUCAAGAGCAUGUUUUUCGAUUAGAUACUUUGACCAUAAAUUUGGUUGAACGUGGUAUGUCUGAAAUUCUUCUUCAUCCUUUCGAUCAUAUCUGCUCUCCAAGACUACCUCAAACUGAGUAACAAAUCUGAAAAUAUUUAUAUGAUUAUUUACAUAACCCUUAAAUAGUGAGUGUAUACUUUCACUGCGUUGUGUUGUAGACAUAAAAAUAAAGAAUAUAUAUCUAAAAUAUGCAGGCAUCCAUUGGUUUCAUAUAUUGAAUAGGUGAUCAAGGUAGGCAUUAGACUCCAAAGAGUAUUUCUUGAUAAAUGCAUCCCAACAAUGCUUAAACUGCUCUGGAGAGAUAGAAGCAUUAAUGCAAUGAUGAAUAUCUUCCUUCAAUCCAUCUUUUUUAUUAAAAAGAACGAAUAGACGUUUUAUGACAUUUUUCAGGACAUGUCACUUACAAAAUUGAUGGAAAUUAUUAAGAAAAAUAUGCUCAAUUGUCUUUUUCAUUAUUGGAUCUUGAUUAGUUAAUAUGUAUUUUGGGUGCUUGCCAUAAUGUGUCUUCAGAAAAGAUUGGAAGAUCCAAAUAAAUAAUUCGAUACACUCAUCUCGAACUAAUGCGCAAUUGAAUAGAAUUGACUGCAUCUGGUGGUUGACACCAACAAAUGGGGCAAAAGGCAUGUUUUAUUUGUUUAUUAUUAUGUAUGUAGUGUCAAAUAUCACAACAUCACCAAAGUAUUGGUAAGACAAUCUUGACCUUCCAUCAAUCUAAAAAAUAUUUUAGAUACUAUUGUCGGCAUCUAAUUGGAUGGCGUAAAAGAAAAUUGGAUUCUCGGUUUGCUGAGUUUGAAAAUGAUUAACUGUUAUUUGCAGGUCAAUAUUGAAUAACUAUUUUUGGAGGUUGGUUCUAAGGUUGCUCAAAUUCUUUCUAGUGAAACUUACAUUUCAUAUACCUCUAUGUAAUUGUGAGAUUGCACCCAUGAUUUGUUGAGUUGAAAUAUUUUGAUUAUGUAAAGUUUUUAUAAACUCUUUAUCUUCUAAGGUGAUCUUUCUAUGUGAUCAGAAGAAGUGAGUUUUUGAUGGGUUAUGAAUAAGCUUAUGAUUAUGAA